UGCCGAGGUAAGGGCACCUUCUUACUUCCGUAUUAAAUUCCGUCGAUAGCGUAGUUGUAUGCUUGUUGUUGUGAAUGCAUUGUGUGUUUGUUUGUGCACUAUUUGUGAGUGCUUGGCAUGUUUCUAUUAUGUAUUCUCGAUAUGAGUUCGUGAUGAAUACAUGAGGUUACUUGUCUGACAUAGUAUUUGAUGAAAUAUAUGUGUUGACAUGCUUGUUGGGAGAUUACAUAUGAUUGUGAUAAUA
rnacentral:lncRNA from 1 species